UACGUAGGGUGCAAGCGUUGUCCGGAAUUAUUGGGCGUAAAGAGCUCGUAGGCGGUCUGUCGCGUCUGCUGUGAAAUCUCAGGGCUUAACCCUGAGCUUGCAGUGGGUACGGGCAGACUAGAGUGCGGUAGGGGAGACUGGAAUUCCUGGUGUAGCGGUGAAAUGCGCAGAUAUCAGGAGGAACACCGGUGGCGAAGGCGGGUCUCUGGGCCGAUACUGACGCUGAGGAGCGAAAGCGUGGGGAGCGAACAGG
rnacentral:rRNA from 1 species